GGCCAGAGGCGGAGCUGCCGCCCUGCCGCGACUUUCAGACUCCGACUAUGGCCUCGCGCUGGUGGCGGUGGCGGCGGGGCUGCUCCUGGAGGCCUGCGGCUCGGAGUCCAGAGCCCGGCUCCCCCGGCCUUGCGGGGCCGCCGGGGCCGCGCGCCGCCGCCGCCGCCGCCGCCGCCCGCUGUCAGAUACCCUAUUUUAAUCUUGUGAAGCAUUUGACAUCUGCCUGUCCAAAUGUAUAUAGCAUAUCACGGUUUCAUCACACAACCCCAGACAGUAAAACACGCAGUGGUGAGAAAUAUACUGAUCCUUUCAAACUCGGUUGGAGAGACUUGAAAGGUCUGUAUGAGGACAUUAGAAAGGAACUGCUCAUAUCAACAUCAGAACUUAAGGAAAUGUCUGAGUACUACUUUGAUGGAAAAGGGAAAGCCUUUCGACCAAUUAUUGUGGCACUAAUGGCCCGAGCAUGCAAUAUUCAUCAUAACAACUCCCGACACGUGCAAGCCAGCCAGCGCGCCAUAGCCUUAAUUGCAGAAAUGAUCCACACUGCUAGUCUCGUUCACGAUGACGUUAUUGACGAUGCAAGUUCUCGAAGAGGAAAACACACAGUUAAUAAGAUCUGGGGUGAAAAGAAGGCUGUUCUUGCUGGAGAUUUAAUUCUUUCUGCAGCAUCUAUAGCUCUGGCACGAAUUGGAAAUACAACUGUUAUAUCUAUUUUAACCCAAGUUAUUGAAGAUUUGGUGCGUGGUGAAUUUCUUCAGCUUGGGUCAAAAGAAAAUGAGAAUGAAAGAUUUGCACACUACCUUGAAAAGACCUUUAAGAAGACCGCCAGCCUGAUAGCCAACAGUUGUAAAGCAGUAUGUCUCUGUUCUAGGAUGCCCUGACCCAGUGGUACAUGAGAUCGCCUAUCAGUACGGGAAAAAUAUAGGAAUAGCUUUUCAGCUAAUAGAUGAUGUUCUGGACUUCACCUCAUGUUCUGACCAGAUGGGCAAACCAACGUCAGCUGAUCUGAAGCUCGGGUUAGCCACUGGUCCUGUCCUGUUUGCCUGUCAGCAGUUCCCAGAAAUGAAUGCUAUGAUCAUGAGACGGUUCAGUUUGCCGGGAGACGUGGACAGAGCGAGACAGUAUGUAUUACAGAGUGAUGGUGUGCAACAAACAACCUACCUCGCCCAGCAGUACUGCCAUGAAGCAGUAAGAGAGAUCAGUAAACUUCGACCAUCCCCAGAGAGAGAUGCCCUCAUUCAACUUUCGGAAAUUGUACUCACAAGAGAUAAAUGACAGCUCUUCCUGUUCUUUCUGGCAGCUAUCUUACCAGACUGUGCCUAAAGAAUUUUAUGGAAUACACUGUUUGCUUCAUGUGCAGAUAACCAAAAAUCAUUUUAAAAGAUAUCACUUAUUGAUGGGCAAUUUAUUUUUUUUUAUUGCAAAAGUUUUUUCAGAAAACUUUUUAAAUGUAAUUAAACCAUCUGAAUCUGUCAUUCUAGUCCUAUAAAUUCUAAUCGAGGUAUCUUGAUGGUUAUAUGUGGUAUUGUUUACACUGUUAAUAUCCACAUGUAAGGCCAUUAUACAAAUAAAUGAUAAAAUUCAA